CUUACCAUGCAGUCGAACGAUGAUGGAGAGCUUGCUCUUCGGAUUAGUGGCGAACGGGUGAGUAACACGUGAGCAAUCUGCCCUUGACUCUGGGAUAAGCGUUGGAAACGACGUCUAAUACCGGAUACGACCUUGGAAGGCAUCUUCCUUGGUGGAAAGAAUUUUGGUCAGGGAUGAGCUCGCGGCCUAUCAGCUAGUUGGUGAGGUAAUGGCUCACCAAGGCGACGACGGGUAGCCGGCCUGAGAGGGUGACCGGCCACACUGGGACUGAGACACGGCCCAGACUCCUACGGGAGGCAGCAGUGGGGAAUAUUGCACAAUGGGCGAAAGCCUGAUGCAGCAACGCCGCGUGAGGGACGACGGCCUUCGGGUUGUAAACCUCUUUUAGUAGGGAAGAAGCGAAAGUGACGGUACCUGCAGAAAAAGCACCGGCUAACUACGUGCCAGCAGCCGCGGUAAUACGUAGGGUGCAAGCGUUGUCCGGAAUUAUUGGGCGUAAAGAGCUCGUAGGCGGUUUGUCGCGUCUGCUGUGAAAACCCGAGGCUCAACCUCGGGCCUGCAGUGGGUACGGGCAGACUAGAGUGCGGUAGGGGAGAUUGGAAUUCCUGGUGUAGCGGUGGAAUGCGCAGAUAUCAGGAGGAACACCAAUGGCGAAGGCAGAUCUCUGGGCCGUAACUGACGCUGAGGAGCGAAAGCAUGGGGAGCGAACAGGAUUAGAUACCCUGGUAGUCCAUGCCGUAAACGUUGGGAACUAGAUGUGGGGACCAUUCCACGGUCUCCGUGUCGCAGCUAACGCAUUAAGUUCCCCGCCUGGGGAGUACGGCCGCAGGCUAA
rnacentral:rRNA from 1 species